AACCAUUCUCACCUGCGGCUAGACCUGCGGAAGGAUCAUUACAGAGUUGCAAGACUCCCUAAACCAUUGUGAACCUACCUUCUACCGUUGCUUCGGCGGGCGGGCCCAGCGCCCCCCCGGCCCCCCGCGGGCGCCCGCCGGAGGAUACCCAAACUCUUGACAUUAGUGGCCUCUCUGAGUAUUCUUUACUGAAUAAGUCAAAACUUUCAACAAUGGAUCU
rnacentral:misc_RNA from 1 species